CGGGGUGUUCCACUAAGCUGUCGAUGUUCUCGUUGCGAUAGACGUGACGAGACGGCCUGCUUUGGGAGCAGGAGACCGCAGGUUCGAGUCCUGUCGCCCCGA
rnacentral:tRNA from 1 species